ACGAGUUCCGUGCCGCAGCUAACGCAUUAAGCGCCCCGCCUGGGGAGUACGGCCGCAAGGCUAAAACUCCAAAGGAAUUGACGGGGGCCCGCACAAGCGGUGGAGCAUGCGGAUUAAUUCGAUGCAACGCGAAGAACCUUACCUAGGUUUGACAUAUACGAGAAGCCUCUGGAGACAGAGGUCUCUUUGGACACUUGUAUACAGGUGGUGCAUGGCUGUCGUCAGCUCGUGUCGUGAGGUGUUGGGUUAAGUCCCGCAACGAGCGCAACCCUUGUCUUAUGUUGCCAGCACGUAAUGGUGGGGACUCAUAAGAGACUGCCGGGGUCAACUCGGAGGAAGGUGGGGAUGACGUCAAGUCAUCAUGCCCCUUAUGCCUAGGGCUUCACGCAUGCUACAAUGGCCGGUACAAAGGGCUGCGAUACCGCGAGGUGGAGCGAAUCCCAAAAAGCCGGUCUCAGUUCGGAUUGGGGUCUGCAACUCGACCCCAUGAAGUUGGAGUCGCUAGUAAUCGCAG
rnacentral:rRNA from 1 species